GAGUUUGAUCCUGGCUCAGGACGAACGCUGGCGGCGUGCUUAACACAUGCAAGUCGAACGGGGUCCAUGCAGUAGCAAUACUGCGGAAGGCCUAGUGGCGAACGGGUGAGUAACACGUGAGGAACCUGCCCUGGUCUCUGGGAUAACAGUUGGAAACAGCUGCUAAUACCGGAUGACGUCGGACCGUCGCAUGGCGGACUGACGAAAGGGUUACCGGAUCAGGAGGGCCUCGCGUCCUAUCAGCUUGUUGGUGGGGUAACGGCCUACCAAGGGCAUCGACGGGUAGCUGGUCUGAGAGGAUGAUCAGCCACACUGGGACUGAGACACGGCCCAGACUCCUACGGGAGGCAGCAGUGGGGAAUCUUGCGCAAUGGGCGAAAGCCUGACGCAGCAAGCCGCGUGCGGGAAG
rnacentral:rRNA from 1 species